ACGAAGGGGGCAAGCGUUGUUCGGAUUUAUUGGGCGUAAAGGGCGUCUAGGUGGUUAAUUAAGUCGGAUGUGAAAUCCUUCAGCUCAACUGAAGAACUGCAUCCGAUACUGAUUAGCUUGAGUAUAGGAGAAGGGAGUGGAAUUCUCAGUGUAGCGGUGAAAUGCGUAGAUAUUGAGAAGAACACCGGUGGCGAAGGCGGCUCUCUAGCCUAAAACUGACACUAAAGCGCGAAAGCCAGGGGAGCGAACGG
rnacentral:rRNA from 1 species